rnacentral:rRNA from 1 species
UACGGGGGGGGCAAGCGUUGUUCGGAAUUACUGGGCGUAAAGGGCUCGUAGGCGGCCAACUAAGUCAGACGUGAAAUCCCUCGGCUUAACCGGGGAACUGCGUCUGAUACUGGAUGGCUUGAGUUUGGGAGAGGGAUGCGGAAUUCCAGGUGUAGCGGUGAAAUGCGUAGAUAUCUGGAGGAACACCUGUGGUGUAGACGGCUCUCUGGACCGCAACUGACGCUGAGACACGAAAGCGUGGGUAGCAAACAGG